rnacentral:misc_RNA from 1 species
UUUCUUUUUAAGGAAAAAAAAAGANAGAAAGCCCCGGAGGGGGUGAGUUUAGCGUUUUUUCCCCUGCAUUUCACAUGAAUAAUCUUCCCCAGGGCGGGGGAUAAGCUCUCUCAAGGGGGUCUAGUACCGCAUAACAUUCACCGGUGGCAUAGUAGGAUAAUCAAAUACCGCCUCUAUUUAUAGGCUUUCACCUUGGGAUGAAAUCUCGCUUCUUUAGCCUGUUGGAGGGGUAAUGGCCCAUCAAAGCUACUUAUGAAUAUCCCGUCUGACAGGGUGUCCAGCCACACUGGGACUGAUAUACAGCCUAAACUCCUACACUAGGCAUCUUUGGG